GACGAACGCUGGCGGCGUGCUUAACACAUGCAAGUCGAACGGAAAGGCCCUGCUUUUGUGGGGUGCUCGAGUGGCGAACGGGUGAGUAACACGUGAGUAACCUGCCCUUGACUUUGGGAUAACUUCAGGAAACUGGGGCUAAUACCGGAUAGGAGCGCCUGCUGCAUGGUGGGGGUUGGAAAGUUCCGGCGGUUGGGGAUGGACUCGCGGCUUAUCAGCUUGUUGGUGGGGUAGUGGCGUACCAAGGCUUUGACGGGUAGCCGGCCUGAGAGGGUGACCGGCCACAUUGGGACUGAGAUACGGCCCAGACUCCUACGGGAGGCAGCAGUGGGGAAUAUUGCACAAUGGGCGGAAGCCUGAUGCAGCAACGCCGCGUGCGGAAUGACGGCCUUCGGGUUGUAAACCGCUUUCGCCUGUGACGAAGCGUGAGUGACGGUAAUGGGUAAAGAAGCACCGGCUAACUACGUG
rnacentral:rRNA from 1 species